rnacentral:lncRNA from 1 species
CCACACGUUCCCUUUCAUUUCUUUCUCUUCUCAUACUCUCUCUCCUCAAAGUCUCUCUCUUCUCAAAGUCUCUACACCAGGGGAGUCACGAGAGAUGGCGAGACAUCAUCGCCGACGGCCACACGACGGCAUUGGAGUCGCUGGACCUCGCCGGCGGCCACACGACGGCGGCUGAGGCAGCAUGGCAGGGGUGUAGGGUGAUGUGGGAUAGGGUGGAGGCGUUGAACAUCGCCGGCAGCGACGGUGGCUAG